GAGAUCGGGAGAGGGAUGCAGAAUUCCAGGUGUAGCGGUGAAAUGCGUAGAUAUCUGGAGGAAUACCGGUGGCGAAGGCGGCAUCCUGGACCGACAUUGACGCUGAACGGCGAAAGCUAGGGGAGCAAACGGGAUUAGAUACCCCGGUAGUCCUAGCCCUAAACGAUGAAUGCUUGGUGUGGCGGGUAUCGAUCCCUGCCGUGCCGAAGCUAACGCAUUAAGCAUUCCGCCUGGGGAGUACGGUCGCAAGGCUGAAACUUAAAUGAAUUGACGG
rnacentral:rRNA from 1 species